AUGCCACACAACAGAUCCAGCACUGAUCAAAUGCAACUUGUUCUUCUCUGUAAAGAACACGAUUUUAAGUAUUUUGGUCAAGACUUGGUUAUGGGCACUCUUGUCAAUGACCUUAAAGAUCUUGAGCUUAGUGGUGUUACCCUGUCUGAUGGAAAGGUUUACAAGGGAACUUUAUGUGCCAUUGCAGGCGACAACCUAGGCUCACAUAACAUAGGAGGCUUUGUGGAGAACUUCAGCAGGAGCUCACACUUCUGCAGAUAUUGUGAUAUCAGCAGAGAAGCAUUCCAUGCAGAUCCUCUUAUCCAGAGCACAAAACGCACAGUGCAGUCAUACAGUGGUCAUGUUCAGAGCAGUGAAGGACAGUCUACAUCUAGUGGAGGUGUUAAAUUUGACUCUGCAUUUAAUACGCUCAAAUACUUCCAUGUAUGUCAGCCAGGGUUGCCUCCAUGUCUUGGCCACGAUCUUUUUGAAGGUAUUGUAUCCUCUGAUCUGGCACUGUACAUUAACCAUCUUGUUAAGGUGGAUAAAAUGUUUAGCUAUCUUGAGUUGAAUCGACGAAUAAAUCAGUUCAAGUAUCUCGGUAGGGAUGCUAAUGACAAACCGUGUGAGUUUAAUCCAGAGGGUGGAAAACUUGGGGGACAUGCUGUGCAGAAUUGGUGUUUGCUGAGAAUGUUGCCCGUUUUGAUCGGAGACAAAGUAAAAAAUCCAGGUGACAACCAAGUUUGGCAGUUGGUUUUGCAACUUAGAGAAGUCGUGGACCUCAGUUGUGCACCUGCGAUUUCAAAUGGCCAGAUAGCCUACCUAAGAGUUCUGAUUGAUGAAUAUUUGCAUUGCCGAAUUCAAACCUUUCCUGACAACCCACUGAAGCCCAAACAUCAUUAUGUCAGUCAUUAUCCUGAGCUCAUUAUCCAGUUUGGGCCACUUAUUCGCCUAUGGACUUUAAGAUUUGAGAGCAAACACACAUAUUUUAAGCAGUGUUUGAGAAAAUUGCGUAACUUUAAGAAUCCAUGUUCUACUCUUGCAGAGAGACAUCAGCUUCUGCAGGCCUUUCUGAGUGCGGGUACCUUCUUCCCUCCAGAUGUUUCAGUCGAGAGGGGCACACAGUUUUUCUCAGAUGACUACAAUGAUGUAAUCAUAGAAGCAGUUGCACAUCACAAUUUUGAGUCCACAAACACUCUACCUUCUUCCCUAGAUGUUUCAGUGGAGAGGGGCACACAGUUUUUCUCAGAUGACUACAAUGAUGUAAUCAUAGAAGCAGUUGCACAUCACAAUUUUGAGUCCACAAACACUCUGAUAGCCAAUGAAGUGACUGUGAAGGGGACAAAAUACAGAAAGAACAUGAUCAUUGUGAUUGAUGAUGAUGAUGAGGGUCUUGUUACUGGAAAAAUCAAAGUGGUUCUUGUUCAUAAGGAUUCAGCAGUAUAUUUUAUUGCUGAAAAGUAUCAUGCCCUGCGUAUUCCUGACAUGGGUGUUUACAGCCUCACACUGAUGCAGAGAAGCUACUGUUGUAUUAAUCAGGAGAAUCUGCUUGAUUACUAUCCCUUGCCUGAGUACACUGUCCAUGGCACACCACUGAUAAUUCUUCACCAUUCUUUCCCUCUAGUCCAGAAUGAUGUCGAACAUGAGUGA
rnacentral:lncRNA from 1 species